CACGUAGGGUGCGAGCGUUAAUCGGAAUUACUGGGCGUAAAGCGUGCGCAGGCGGUUCGCUAAGUCCGGUGUGAAAUCCCCGGGCUUAACCUGGGAACUGCAUUGGUGACUGGCGGGCUAGAGUAUGGCAGAGGGGGGUAGAAUUCCACGUGUAGCAGUGAAAUGCGUAGAGAUGUGGAGGAAUACCGAUGGCGAAGGCAGCCCCCUGGGCCAAUACUGACGCUCAUGCACGAAAGCGUGGGGAGCAAACAGG
rnacentral:rRNA from 1 species